rnacentral:rRNA from 1 species
UACGUAGGGGGCAAGCGUUAUCCGGAAUCAUUGGGCGUAAAGCGCGUGUAGGCGGUUCCGUAAGUCCGCUCUGAAAGCCCAGGGCUCAACCCUGGGAGGCGGGUGGAUACUACGGAACUGGAGUACGGAAGAGGAGAUUGGAAUUCCUGGUGUAGCGGUGAAAUGCGCAGAUAUCAGGAGGAACACCAACAGCGAAGGCAGAUCUCUGGGACGUUACUGACGCUGAGACGCGAAAGCGUGGGGAGCGAACGGG